CGCUAGACUUGGCCGGGGUGUUCGGCGUACCCUUAUACACCAAAAUCGUCGUUAGUGGGGGCAACACUCGGAGGCGGUGUAACCAGCCCGCAAUCGAUCCGGAUGCCACCUAUGAGAUUUCGUCCUUCGGGGUCGGAGGUGGUAACGAUGUGCGAUCGGAGGAUCGUGCAUCCUGUCUUAGUCAUGGAGACCGGGUGAGGACCGGAAGGGAGCAGCCUUACCAUGAACUACCGACGCUCGGAGGGUCGCGGGAUCGAGAAGGUGUUCGGGCCUCUCGAUUUCGGGUCUGAGCGCUCACUCCGAGGUGUCUAGCA
rnacentral:SRP_RNA from 1 species